rnacentral:rRNA from 1 species
GACGAACGCUGGCGGCGUGCUUAACACAUGCAAGUCGAACGGAAAGGCCCUGCUUUUGUGGGGUGCUCGAGUGGCGAACGGGUGAGUAACACGUGAGUAACCUGCCCUUGACUUUGGGAUAACUUCAGGAAACUGGGGCUAAUACCGGAUAGGAGCUCCUGCUGCAUGGUGGGGGUUGGAAAGUUUCGGCGGUUGGGGAUGGACUCGCGGCUUAUCAGCUUGUUGGUGGGGUAGUGGCUUACCAAGGCUUUGACGGGUAGCCGGCCUGAGAGGGUGACCGGCCACAUUAGGACUGAGAUACGGCCCAGACUCCUACGGGAGGCAUCAGUGGGGAAUAUUGCACAAUGGGCGGAAGCCUGAUGCAGCAACGCCGCGUGCGGGAUGACGGCCUUCGGGUUGUAAACCGCUUUCGCCUGUGACGAAGCGUGAGUGACGGUAAUGGGUAAAGAAGCACCGGCUAACUACGUG